ACGGCACAGCGGCGGAUGGCGACGAGACGAAGGAUUUGGUCGUUUGGACUCUGCUGGCCUUCGGCUUUUGGGACCCCCGGCCCUCUUGUUGUUGGUAAUCUACCACUAGCGGGUGUGGUACUGUGGUUUCGCUGUUUAAAAUUAGCAAGGCGGGUGCUCUGGCCUGUGGGAGAGACGUCGCACAAAUAUAGGUUAGCUACGGACCGACCAACCUGCCACUGCACUCAUCAUUGACACAAGACUCAAUAAUUAGUAACUUUGGUACGGCUUGGUUAUUGCUCACCUCAUGUUUUUAAGAAAGAAAGAAAGAAAAGGGUUCCAUUAUUUUAGUUGGAUGAAUGUCCUAGACACGUAGGUCGUCUUGGACACGUCUGUUAAACUUUGCUGAAAUUUCAACCGGAACUGUGGCCUUUGGCGGCAGGUGUGGGUGUUCGCGCUCAGCUUACUCGGCCUCAUCCCUCUCGCCGAGCGUGUCAGCUUCCUCACCGAGUAAGUUGCUUCUUUCCGGUAGCACACCGUCACUAUUUUUACUUUUAUCUGGUGCAUGUGCCAGAAUCUCUCAUGCUGAUGAGAGACUCCAUGUCUUUUUGCUGUGAUUCGUGCAGGCAGAUCGCGAUAUACACUGGCCCCACUGGUAAGUCACGCCUGCAGCAAAAACUAACCGCUAUGACUUUCUUUCUUUGACUUUUCAAAGUCGAAAACAGUGGUCUCACGCAUGCUUCUGCAUGGCGCGCUGCUGCAGUGGGCGGCCUCCUGAACGCGACGUGCGGCAACGCCACGGAGCUCAUCAUCGCGCUCUUCGCACUCAUGCAGGGCAAGAUCGAGGUCGUCAAGUGCUCCCUCCUCGGCUCCGUCCUCUCCAACCUGCUGCUCGUGCUCGGCACCUCCCUCUUCUGUGGGGGCAUCGUCAACCUCAACGUCGACCAGCCAUAUGACAGGGUACGUACGACCAGGCAAUAUAAUACGUCAAUGCUUCGCAUUUUUCUUGACACGCGUUGCUCCGAUCCGUCCAUCAUCUAUCGGUCAUGAUAUUUUCAUCCAUGCUUUCUUUCUUACCCUGUGCACGUACGUGCAGAAACAAGCGGACGUGAGCACGGGCCUCCUCAUCCUCGGCGCGCUGUGCCAGUCCCUGCCGCUCAUGCUGCGCUACGCGGUGGGCGCCGGCGAGCACUCCGUGGCCGCGGACACCACGGGCCUCGAGCUCUCACGCGCCUGCAGCAUCGUCAUGCUGCUCGCAUACGCCGCCUACCUCUUCUUCCAGCUCAAGACGCACACCCAGCUCUUCGAGCCGCAGGAGAUCGACGACGACGGUGAGGUUGAUCAGGAAGAGGCUGUCAUCGGGUUUGCCAGUGGGUUCUUCUGGCU
rnacentral:lncRNA from 1 species